GACGAACGCUGGCGGCGUGCUUAACACAUGCAAGUCGAACGAUGAAGGAGGAGCUUGCUCCUCCGGAUUAGUGGCGAACGGGUGAGUAAUACGUGAGCAAUGUGCCCUUGACUCUGGGAUAAGCGCUGGAAACGGCGUCUAAUACCGGAUACGACCCUCGGAGGCAUCUCCUGAGGGUGGAAAGAACUUCGGUCAUGGAUAAGCUCACGGCCUAUCAGCUAGUUGGUGAGGUAACGGCUCACCAAGGCGACGACGGGUAGCCGGCCUGAGAGUGUGACCGGCCACACUGGGACUGAGACACGGCCCAGACUCCUACGGGAGGCAGCAGUGGGGAAUAUUGCACAAUGGGCGCAAGCCUGAUGCAGCAACGCCGCGUGAGGGACGAAGGCCUUCGGGUUGUAAACCUCUUUUAGCAGGGAAGAAGCGAAAGUGACGGUACCUGCGGAAAAAGCACCGGCUAACUACGUGCCAGCCGCCGCCGUAAUAC
rnacentral:rRNA from 1 species